GACAGAGGGUGCAAACGUUGUUCGGAAUUACUGGGCGUAAAGCGAGUGUAGGCGGUUUGGUAAGUCGGAUGUGAAAGCCCCGGGCUCAACCCGGGAAGUGCACUCGAUACUGCCAAGCUAGAGUAUCGGAGAGGUUGGUGGAAUUCUCGGUGUAGAGGUGAAAUUCGUAGAUAUCGAGAGGAACACCGGUGGCGAAGGCGGCCAACUGGACGAAUACUGACGCUGAGACUCGAAAGCGUGGGAGCAAACAGG
rnacentral:rRNA from 1 species